AACCUCCGCAAUGUGAGAAAUCGCGACGGGGGGAUCCCAAGUGCCAUUCUUAACGGGAUGGCUUUUCAUUAGUGUAAAGAGCUUUUGGAAUAAGGGCUGGGCAAGACCGGUGCCAGCCGCCGCGGUAACACCGGCAGCUCUAGCGGUAGCAGUUUUUAUUGGGCCUAAAGCGUCCGUAGCCGGUUUAAUAAGUCUCUGGUGAAAUCCUGUAGCUUAACUGUGGGAAUUGCUGGAGAUACUAUUAGACUUGAGACCGGGAGAGGUUAGAGGUACUCCCAGGGUAGAGGUGAAAUUCUGUAAUCCUGGGAGGACCGCCCGUUGCGAAGGCGUCUAACUGGAACGGUUCUGACGGUGAGGGACGAAAGUUAGGGGCGCGAACCGGAUUAGAUACCCGGGUAGUCCUAACCGUAAACGAUGCGGACUUGGUGUUGGGGUGGCUUUGAGCUGCUCCAGUGCCGAAGGGAAGCUGUUAAGUCCGCCGCCUGGGAAGUACGGUCGCAAGACUGAAACUUAAAGGAAGU
rnacentral:rRNA from 1 species